AUUGAACGCUGGCGGCAGGCUUAACACAUGCAAGUCGAGCGGGGUGAUGGUGCUUGCACUAUCACUUAGCGGCGGACGGGUGAGUAAUGCUUAGGAAUCUGCCUAUUAGUGGGGGACAACAUCUCGAAAGGGAUGCUAAUACCGCAUACGUCCUACGGGAGAAAGCAGGGGAUCACUUGUGACCUUGCGCUAAUAGAUGAGCCUAAGUCGGAUCAGCUAGUUGGUGGGGUAAAGGCCUACCAAGGCGACGAUCUGUAGCGGGUCUGAGAGGAUGAUCCGCCACACUGGGACUGAGACACGGCCCAGACUCCUACGGGAGGCAGCAGUGGGAAUAUUGGACAAUGGGGGGAACCCUGAUCCAGCCAUGCCGCGUGUGUGAAGAAGGCCUUAUGGUUGUAAAGCACUUUAAGCGAGGAGGAGGCUCUUUUGGUUAAUACCCAAGAUGAGUGGACGUUACUCGCAGAAUAAGCACCGGCUAACUCUGUGCCAGCAGCCGCCGUAA
rnacentral:rRNA from 1 species